CAAAUUAGAGCUUUAAGCAUUUUAUUUACAUUAAAAAGAUAAUUAUAAUAUAAUUUAAUUUGA
rnacentral:tRNA from 1 species